rnacentral:rRNA from 1 species
GACGAACCGUGCGAACGUUAUUCGGAAUCACUGGGCUUAAAGCGCGUGUAGGCGGGCCGGCACGUCGGUCGUUGAAAUCCCCCGGCUCAACCGGGGAAGUGGCGCCGAUACGACCGGCCUCGAGGAACGUAGGGGGAGCUGGAACUUCCGGUGGAGCGGUGAAAUGCGUUGAGAUCGGAAGGAACGCCCGUGGCGAAAGCGAGCUCCUGGACGUUUUCUGACGCUGAGACGCGAAAGCCAGGGGAGCGAACGGG